rnacentral:tRNA from 1 species
AGGAAGGUUUCGUAUGUUGGUUUGCGAGUUGAGCUGUAAACUCAAUGGCUUUAUGUCGUCGAAGGUUCAAUUCCUUCUCUUCCUA